UAUUAAUUAAUUCAUGAAAAGUUUCAUAAGGAAUAUUUUCAAACUUAAACAAAUGCGAACAUCAAUUAGUUAAUGGCCAAGGAUAUGAUUAAUCGAUUCCUAUUCUAAUAUCUAAUUACUAAGGAGCAGCUCAUCCUCAAAUCAAAUAGAAUUUUGAUACUUGGCAAAUUCCAAAACAAAGAAAGUUAAAUAAAGUUAACAAGUGUCAAAAUCCCAUUCGUUCUAAGGAGGAGC
rnacentral:lncRNA from 1 species